GUCCAGGAGCACGGCGGCCCGCCCGGCUCCGCUCGCGUGGGAGAGGAUGCGCCCCGGGCCGAGGCCCCUCCCCGCGGGGCUGCGGGUUGGAGAAGGCGCUUCCUUAGAGGGGUGUGUUGCGGGAUGGGGGUGUCCUGGCACCGGGCGCCCUUUCCGGCUCCAUGUAGAGCCACACCAUCGCGGCUCUGCACUAGAUUGCGUGCGCAGGAUCUCCUCCCUUCAAGGCAGGUUGAGUCGACAGGGUUCGCUCCCGUCCUGGGAGUCUACUCCUCAUCUUGGACUUCCUUCUUUCUCUGAACACCUACUGUGUACCAGCGUGGCGCUGAGGAAGCAUAUGUGAAGACAGGACAAUGUGUGGAGUGCCUUGGAAGUGUGCGUGACUGUUGCUGCUGACAGCCGAGCGGGGAAAGCCACAUUUUGCUUGGUUUGUGUCAGUAGCAUCAUCUACCAUCCCUGUCAUCUUCCAUGGAAAGUGGAAAGGGGAAGUUAGAUUCCCAAGGAGAAUACUAUGUUGUGAAGAGACUCAGUUCUAGUGAACUACCAUGACUAUUCACAAAACUCCCUUGGGGGGAGGUAGGAAGAGAAACAUGUGACAUCAAUGAAGAAAACUGACCAGAAUAUUUGCUUUUCCCACUGCACUUGAUCCGACUAAAUAUCAGUGACUGUUGGUUACGGUUUUGGGGCUUUAAGAUUUGAG
rnacentral:lncRNA from 1 species